AACGAACGCUGGCGGCAUGCCUAACACAUGCAAGUCGAACGAGACCUUCGGGUCUAGUGGCGCACGGGUGCGUAACGCGUGGGAACCUGCCCUUAGGUUCGGAAUAACUCCCCGACAGGGGUGCUAAUACCGGAUCAUGUCUUCGGACCAAAGAUUUAUCGCCUUUGGAUGGGCCCGCGUUGGAUUAGCUAGUUGGUAGGGUAAAAGCCUACCAAGGCGACGAUCCAUAGCUGGUCUGAGAGGAUGAUCAGCCACACUGGGACUGGGACACGGCCCAGACUCCUACGGGAGGCAGCAGUGGGGGAUAUUGGACAAUGGGCGAAAGCCUGAUCCAGCAAGGCCGCGUGAGUGAUGAAGGCCGUAGGGUUGUAAAGCUCUUUUACCCGGGAUGAUAAUGACAGUACCGGGAGAACAAGCUCCGGCUAACUCCGUG
rnacentral:rRNA from 1 species